rnacentral:rRNA from 1 species
UACGUAGGGGGCAAGCGUUGUCCGGAAUCAUUGGGCGUAAAGCGCGUGUAGGCGGCUCGGUAAGUCUGCUGUGAAAGUCCAGGGCUCAACCCUGGGAUGCCGGUGGAUACUGUCGAGCUCGAGUCCGGAAGAGGCGAGUGGAAUUCCUGGUGUAGCGGUGAAAUGCGCAGAUAUCAGGAGGAACACCAAUGGCGAAGGCAGCUCGCUGGGACGUGACUGACGCUGAGACGCGAAAGCGUGGGGAGCGAACGGG